rnacentral:piRNA from 1 species
CUCUGAGUCAGAGCAGCACAUUC